rnacentral:rRNA from 1 species
CCCUUAGAUGUUCUGGGCCGCACGCGCGCUACACUGACGAAUGCAACGAGCUUAUAACCUUGGCCGAAAGGUCUGGGUAAUCUCCAAAUUUCGUCGUGAUGGGGAUAGAUUAUUGCAAUUAUUAAUCUUCAACGAGGAAUGCCUAGUAAGCGCAAGUCAUCAGCUUGCGUUGAUUACGUCCCUGCCCUUUGUACACACCGCCCGUCGCUCCUACCGAUUGAAUGGUCCGGUGAAGCGUUCGGACCGUGGCCUUUGGACGGUUCGCCGUCUGUUGGCUGCGGGAAGUUCGUUAAACCUUAUCAUUUAGAGGAAGGAGAAAUCGUAACA